AAGGAUCAUUAACGAGUAAACAGGGGAGUUGUAGCUGGCCGCAAGGCAUGUGCACGCUCCCUACUCAAUCCCACCUUACACCUGUGCAUCUAUUGUAGGUCGGGUGGCUUGGCUACAUGUCAGGCUGUCCUUCCUAUGUCUACACAUACACUUUAUAGUUUCAGAAUGUAAACUGCGUAUAACGCAUCUAUAAACA
rnacentral:misc_RNA from 1 species